rnacentral:rRNA from 1 species
GAUGAACGCUGGCGGCGUGCCUAAUACAUGCAAGUCGAGCGAACAGACGAGGAUCUUUCUCCUCUUACGUUAGCGGCUGACGGGUGAGUAACACGUGGAUAACCUACCUAUAAUACUUGGAUAACUUCGGGAAUCCGGAUCUAAUACCGGAUAAUAUAUUUAACCGCAUGGUUCAUUAGUUAAUGACGGUUUUUCUUUCACUUAUAGUUGGAUCCGCGCCGCAUUAGCUAGUUGGUAAGGUAAAGGCUUACCAAGGCAACGAUGCUUAUCCGACCUGAGAGGGUGAUCGGCGACACUGGAACUGAGACACGGUCCAGACUACUACGGGAGGCAGCAGUAGGGAAGAGUACGCAAUGGGCGAAAGCAUGACGGAGCAACGCCGCGUGAGUGAUGAAGGUCUUAGGAUCGUAAAACUCUGUUAUUAGGGAAGAAAAAAUGUGUAAGUAAAUAUGCACGUCUUGACGGUAACUAAUCAGAAAGCAACGGCUAACUACGUG